CAGCAGACACAUUCCAGCCAAUCAGCAGCAGACCCUCCCUCCCAGACCCUCCCACCUCCUGGACAGCAUCCAUUUUACAUUCAUUGUGAAGCUGCAUUCUUAGUGAGCUGUCCAGGAGGUGGAAGGGUCUGGGAGGGAGGGUCUGCUGCUGAUUGGCUGGAAUGUGUCUUCUG